AUGGCAGCGACUUGUGAGGUACCUCAACAACCGUCACGACGGAGCUGCAACCGCAGCUCGAGAGAGGAGGGCGUUGCCGGAGACAAGGGCCGCCUGCACGAGUCAGGCCCGCUAUCGGCGGCAGCGCCCGCGUCCACACCGGCAACACGAGCACCAAGGUUGGGCUGUGUCCCCAUGGUGCGCGUCGAUGUCCAUGUGCAGCACGCGCCGGAAGCGGGCGAGGAGUUGGUUGAUGGCGAGAACGAUGUCGUUGACAUAGCUGAAGCUGUUGGCGUGGCCAGGGCAUGCAUGGUGCAUGCUGCCGGACAAAUUUAG
rnacentral:rRNA from 1 species